rnacentral:rRNA from 1 species
UACGUAGGGUGCAAGCGUUAAUCGGAAUUACUGGGCGUAAAGCGUGCGCAGGCGGCUAUGCAAGACAGAUGUGAAAUCCCCGGGCUCAACCUGGGAACUGCAUUUGUGACUGCAUGGCUAGAGUACGGCAGAGGGGGAUGGAGUUCCGCGUGUAGCAGUGAAAUGCGUAGAUAUGCGGAGGAACACCGAUGGCGAAGGCAAUCCCCUGGGCCUGUACUGACGCUCAUGCACGAAAGCGUGGGGAGCGAACAGG